GGCGGCAGCCAUGUUGUGCCAGCAGGAGCAGCCCCGGGCCUGAGCUGUGGCCGUGGAGAGGGGCCCGAAGUGAGGCGGGAGGGCUGGGCGGGCUGCCGGGCAGUGCUGGAGCAGUGCCUGAAGAGUCGUGACCCGUCGGAGGCCAUCGGGCUGUAUUGGGAAGACGGAGUGAGAGCGGAAUGAGCACUGAGCGGUGGGGCUGGGCGGGCGGAACGGGUCGGCCACGGCCUCCGUUCUGCUGCUGCUCCUCUGGGGGAGGAGGUGGAAGAGCCUGGAUGGAUGUAAGAGUCAUGCAAGAAAAACUUGAAAACAGAGGAUUUGCCAGCUGCUGCUUGAGGAUGGACUGGGCUUCAGUUGGUGGGUGGUUUAUUGGAUGACUGGCAGCUUCUUGAGAGCUCUGUCCAUGUGAAGAGAGGGGAACUUCAAAAUGAAUAGAAGACUCCAGCCAGAAAUUGCAGAAACCACGCUAGCAUUGUGUAACCUUCUUCUGGUAACUUCACUAUAACAUCAUUAAAAGUGUUGGAAAGUUGAAUGAUUUGACAGUCUCAACAAACAAAAGAUGCUCAGUAGUGAUAAGAGCCAUGAAAAUAGUCCAUCUGAUUUGCAUAACUGGUCAGCUCCUGGUGGAUUUGAACUGGCCAGAGAGACAGAGAAAGCUGUGGCUGGGUAGUACGGUUCAGAAAGAGAAGGGAAAGGACUCUAUUUCAUUUAGGCCUAGUACUGAGUAUAAAUCCUCCAUGGCAUCUAAACUGAUUCCUCAAAUUAAGGAGCAGCCUAUGCUGCACAGAUAUAAAGAAGGUCUUGCUCACUGCAGGUGCCAUGGAAUUAGGUAUGUCAAAAUCCACAUGGAGUUACAUCUGGAGAGCGAGUAGAGAAAGAAUGUCAGACUUCAGCAUCCAUUGUUUUUUUGGGGUUUAUGUCCAUUUUUUUUCCAUAUAGCACAUUCCAUGCGAAAAUUUUGUUGUGCUGGAUCUUUGGUCCCUUGAAAUGAAAAAAGGAAAUUGUUUCCAAGCUUACAAAAAUAUAUAUAUUUACUAAGGAACAGCAAACUGAGUUUGAAGGUCAGCCUGUCAUGCACACCAACAGAUUGGAGGUGAUGUUAUGAAUGUCUAUGCACAUAUGUUAACAGAAACAUGAGGUUUUCCUCUGACAUUUAAUAUGAAAUGUAUUCUGAAGGUGUCUAGCUAAAUUAAUUAUUCUAAGACUCUCUGAAGACACCCUCUUAGAGUGAUGGUAAUCCAAAUACAUUUAUAUGUGGUUUGCAUGGAGUUGAAACUGGAUGGUCUUUUAAAGUCCAUUCCAACCCAAGCCAUUCUAUGAUUCUAUUAUAUCCUAAUGCUUUCUUUACUUGUUUUAAUUUGACAGCACCAUGUAUUAUUUCCUAUAACUCCAUGCCUAAUGUAUAGUUUUCUUUUGGGUGAGUUGGUGCCAUCAUGCACUUUGAGGGAAAGAUAUUUUAUGUAUGUCCUUUAUUUGUGUUUGGUUUGAAUUCCUUAUCCUGAUAAUCAGAUUCUCGAAGUUGCUACAGAUAAAGAUAGAAGAGAAAAGCUGCCCAAUUUAAGCUUUCAAAUGUUUUAUUCUUUUGUGUUCUUAUCUGGAAAACAUUUGUAAAUUUAGAUCAAUUUGGAUGUCCUUUGCCUCAUCUUAGUCUUGUGUACAUGAAUAAUUUUCAGUCCACUGUUUUUGUUUACUGAUGCAAAAUUACUCAAUAAAUUUUCCAUUAUGCUACCAUUAGGAUAUGUUUUCUGUGCAAAAGUGUUUCCCUGGGAGAAACCAUUAUAGAUUUAAUUAAUUUUCUGUAGGAAGUGUGAAGUCAGAUAUUAAGUGCAAUCAACAUCGUGAACCAUUUUUUAUGAGAUAGGUAGUUCACAGUACGUUGAAAAUGCAGCACUGAAGAAUUAUGAG